GCCGCCAGCGCUCCAUGUCCUUUUCCUUUCCCUUUCCUUUCCCGUCCCCAGGAUGCGGCACCGCGUCCUGCGGGGCUCCCUCCGCACCACCGCCCCUCUCCAUUGACCGCCCUCCCCGGCCAGGGAUGGCUGAGCUGCACCAGGAGAGGGUCAGGUCGCACAUCUGGAGGAAUUCCUUCCCGGAAAUGGUUGGCCUCGAUGAUGCCUGAGGUGACUCCAGCCCCGGUGACCCUGUGGUUCCCGCAGCCAGCCCCGCGGCCGGUGGCCGGGCCGGAGCGGGGCCGGCCCAGGCAGCUCCCGCUGUCCCCGGGCAGGUGAGCCUGCGGGCCGCAGGAACUGGGUUAUCGCCGCCUCAUUCCCCGCUCCGCGGGCAGGAGCGGCUCCUCCACCUCCGCACUGCCCGGAGCGGGAAUGCACGGCCUCGGGCCGGCCCUGCCGGGCUCUGCUCCCUGAACUCCGGGGCGCUCGGACACCGCUCCGAGAGAGACGUGCCCGGAGCCCGAAGGCUGUGGGAAGCAGCUGAGCCGGGCAGGCGAGGCAGCGAGCCCAGCGCCAUCCCCACAGCCCUCGGACAAGGGACAGAAGCUGAAGCAAGACUUGCGGUGUUUCUGUUUACGAUACACCUUCAGGUGUUCUCGAGCAUCUCCGGCCCGCUCUGCGGUCCUAACGUGAAAUAAACGUUUGUCUUCCCGUG